GGGGUUGUGGCUCAGUGGUAGAGUACUUGCCUAGAAUGCAUGAGGCACUGGGUUCAAUCUCCAGCACCA
rnacentral:tRNA from 1 species